CUUAUAUAAAUUCUUCCAGGAAAUUCCAUCAUUUUCAGAGUAGAGAAAGUGUUGUCUUUUCUUUGACAAGACUUUUCAGUCACCAACUAUAGCACGGGAUUUACUUAAUUGUGAGAGUCCAAGAGUACACUAGCGAUAAUUACAACGUUUAUUGCGGCGUUGGUCAGAUGCAUUCCCGAAAAUCUCUUGGGAAUACAUCUUCAAGCAACUAUGCAUCAUACGGGUUCCCCUUCGGCUGUGCAUGGCAAAAAGCCCCUAUGAUGGACGAAUAAAGAAUCACUAAAAGGAACCAACCAGGGACGGCAGGGGUGUUGAAGCCUCCACCGUGGUGUUCGUGACCUCGUUCCAAUCCAACAUGAUGCAGCCUUUCCAUCAUUCUUUCAGCUGCAGCUCCGGCACCUCCAGCAGUUCCAGUAGGUACUGUACUUGUUGUAGCUGUAGUGGAACCCGGUCCACUCUUGCCUACUUCGACAGUGUCGCUAUGAUAGAUAACGAGUGGUGGGGCCUGAAUAAAAACCUGGGUCGGACUUACACGGACGCUGUAGGACGAGUUAAGGGCACGACAGAUGUAAGAAGUGCAGCUGGCCGAUGUCAGGAAAAGAAGUACGUGAAGAAAAACGACAAUGCCCAUAAGGAUAAAAGAUGCUUGAUCUGUUCAAUGAACACAAUUAAGAAACCAUGUUUUUCCUCUAAUUAAAAAAAAAGAAUUCGUACCGCAA